AUUGAACGCUGGCGGCAGGCCUAACACAUGCAAGUCGAACGAGUGGCGGACGGGUGAGUAAUGUCUGGGAAACUGCCUGAUGGAGGGGGAUAACUACUGGAAACGGUAGCUAAUACCGCAUACCAUCGGAUGUGCCCAGAUGGGAUUAGCUAGUAGGUGGGGGAAAGGCUCACCUAUGCGACGAUCCCUAGCUGGUCUGAGCGGAUGACGAGCCCCACUGGAACCUGGACACGGUCCAGCCUCAUACGGGGGGCAGCAGUGGGGAAUAUUGGACAAGUGGGGCAAGCCUGAUGCAACCAUGCCGGGUGUAUGAAGAAGUCCUUCGGGUUGUAAAGGUCUUUCAGCGGGGAGGCGUUACCCGCAGAAGAAGCACCGGCUAACUCCGUGCCAGCCGCCGCGGUAAUUC
rnacentral:rRNA from 1 species